rnacentral:SRP_RNA from 1 species
GCCAGGCGCAGUGGCGCGUGCCUGUAGUCCCAGCUACUCAGGAGGCUGAGGUGGGAGGAUCGCUUGAGCCCAGGAGUUCUGGGCUGUAGUGCACUAUGCCCAUCGGGUGUCCACACUAAGUUCCGCAUCAAUAUGGUGACCUCCCGGGAGCAGGCGACCACCAGGUUGCCUAAGGAGGGGUGAACUCGCCCAGGUCGGAAAUGGAGCGGGUCAAAACUCCUGUGCUCAGUAGUGGGAUUGCGACUGUGAACAGCCACUGCAUUCCAGCCUGGGCAACAGAGCAAGACCCCGUUUCU